rnacentral:rRNA from 1 species
AACGUAGGAGACAAACGUUAUCCGGAGUUACUGGGCGUAAAGGGCGUGUAGGUGGUUCUGUAAGUCUGGCGUGAAAUUUCUCGGCUUAACCGAGGCAGGUCGUCGGAUACUGCAGGGCUAGAGGACGGUAGAGGCGUGUGGAAUUCCGGGUGUAGUGGUGAAAUGCGUAGAGAUCCGGAGGAACACCAGUGGCGGAAGGCGACACGCUGGGCCGUACCUGACACUGAUGCGCGACAGCAUGGGGAGCAAACAGG